rfam:Picea glauca, whole genome shotgun sequence.
GUAAUGGUGUCUUUAGACACCACCCUUUUGUCUUCAAAACUUAUUU